AGAUUAAAGGAAGCCAAGAAAGUCUCCAUUGAUCAGGAUUUUAAAAACUACCUCUAUGAGACUCCUGGACAAUGUGUCCCAUAUGCUGUCAUAGAAGGUGUAGUGAGAUCUGUGAAGGAAAUUCUGAGCUGCCA